rnacentral:tRNA from 1 species
GGAGGGUUACCCAAGUGGUCGUAAGGGGGCGGUCUUGAAAACCGUUUGAGGGCAACCUCACAAGAGUUCGAAUCUCUUACCCUCCGCCA